rnacentral:rRNA from 1 species
ACAAACAUUCAGUGGCGAACGGGUGAGUAACGCGUGGAUGAUCUACCUAUGAGAUGGGGAUAACUAUUAGAAAUAGUAGCUAAUACCGAAUAAGGUCAAUUAAUUUGUUAAUUGAUGAAAGGAAGCCUUUAAAGCUUCGCUUGUAGAUGAGUCUGCGUCUUAUUAGCUAGUUGGUAGGGUAAAUGCCUACCAAGGCGAUGAUAAGUAACCGGCCUGAGAGGGUGAACGGUCACACUGGAACUGAGAUACGGUCCAGACUCCUACGGGAGGCAGCAGCUAAGAAUCUUCCGCAAUGGGCGAAAGCCUGACGGAGCGACACUGCGUGAAUGAAGAAGGUCGAAAGAUUGUAAAAUUCUUUUAUAAAUGAGGAAUAAGCUUUGCAGGAAAUGGUAAAGUGAUGACGUUAAUUUAUGAAUAAGCCCCGGCUAAUUACGUGCCAGCAGCCGCGGUAAUACGUAAGGGGCGAGCGUUGUUCGGGAUUAUUGGGCGUAAAGGGUGAGUAGGCGGAUAUAUAAGUCUAUGCGUAAAAUACCACAGCUCAACUGUGGAACUAUGUUGGAAACUGUAUGUCUAGAGUCUGAUAGAGGAAGUUAGAAUUCCUGGUGUAAGGGUGGAAUCUGUUGAUAUCAGGAAGAAUACCGGAGGCGAAGGCGAACUUCUGGGUCAAGACUGACGCUGAGUCACGAAAGCGUAGGGAGCAAACAGGAUUAGAUACCCUGGUAGUCUACGCUGUAAACGAUGCACACUUGGUGUUAACUAAAAGUUAGUACCGAAG